GCCCUUCCUACGGGAGGCAGCAGUAGGGAAUCUUCCGCAAUGGACGAAAGUCUGACGGAGCAACGCCGCGUGAGUGAAGAAGGGUUUCGGCUCGUAAAGCUCUGUUGGCAGUGAAGAAAGAUAGAGGUAGUAACUGGCCUUUAUUUGACGGUAAUUACUUAGAAAGUCACGGCUAACUACGUGCCAGCAGCCGCGGUAAUACGUAGGUGGCAAGCGUUGUCCGGAUUUAUUGGGCGUAAAGCGAGUGCAGGCGGUUCAAUAAGUCUGAUGUGAAAGCCUUCGGCUCAACCGGAGAAUUGCAUCAGAAACUGUUGAACUUGAGUGCAGAAGAGGAGAGUGGAACUCCAUGUGUAGCGGUGGAAUGCGUAGAUAUAUGGAAGAACACCAGUGGCGAAGGCGGCUCUCUGGUCUGCAACUGACGCUGAGGCUCGAAAGCAUGGGUAGCGAACAGGAUUAGAUACCCUGGUAGUCCAUGCCGUAAACGAUGAGUGCUAAGUGUUGGGAGGUUUCCGCCUCUCAGUGCUGCAGCUAACGCAUUAAGCACUCCGCCUGGGGAGUACGACCGCAAGGUUGAAACUCAAAGGAAUUGACGGAAGGGC
rnacentral:rRNA from 1 species